rnacentral:rRNA from 1 species
AUUGAACGCUCGCGGGAUGCUUUACACAUGCAAGUCGAACGGCAGCGCGGACUUCGGUCUGGCGGCGAGUGGCGAACGGGCGAGUAAUGUAUCGGAACGUGCCCAGUAGCGGGGGAUAACUACGCGAAAGCGUAGCUAAUACCGCAUACGCCCUACGGGGGAAAGCAGGGGAUCGUAAGACCUUGCACUAUUGGAGCGGCCGAUAUCGGAUUAGCUAGUUGGUGAGGUAACGGCUCACCAAGGCGACGAUCCGUAGCUGGUUUGAGAGGACGACCAGACACACUGGGACUGAGACACGGCCCAGACUCCUACGGGAGGCAGCAGUGGGGAAUUUUGGACAAUGGGGGCAACCCUGAUCCAGCCAUCCCGCGUGUGCGAUGAAGGCCUUCGGGUUGUAAAGCACUUUUGGCAGGAAAGAAACGUCGCGGGCUAAUACCCCGUGGAACUGACGGUACCUGCAGAAUAAGCACCGGCUAACUACGUG